rnacentral:lncRNA from 1 species
CCCUCCACUCCUGCUCCAGCGGCACAAUGUGAUCCACCAGCAAGGAGGGACGCCAAUAAGGCAUCCGAUAAGUCUUAUAAAAUAUAUAGAUUUAUGAUAAUUAAGACUGAGCUAAAAGAUGAGGAAUCCUAGUCAUUGAUCAAGCAGCUUUGAACAUUAGUGGUCAAACAUGCAAAUCUACUUUUAAUCAAUAACAAGAAAGGAUCCUAUAUUCAAUGCAGGAAUCACAAGGCUGUUGAUUGAGUGUCUUUGAAACAUACUGCAGUCAAGCAAUUCCAUUGUCCUUCUGUGCAUUGUGAUUAUUCCAGCAAAGCCUUUCAAGUCCCUGCGCCAGUCAGAACAUCCCCCACCAGCAGAACUCUACACUGAACCACCACCAGUAAAAGUUCUAGCCAUGACAUUAGAUCAUUUUACCAGAGACCCUUCUACAACCCAGGAUGGGGUCCUCAUCUCCAGUAUCAUUCCUAGAACCUUCAAGUACCAUGAAAACUAGCCAGUAGUGAUGAAGCUUCCAGAUGAAUACCAGCUUGAUUUCUUCAGUUUCUAUGCUCAAGCAAAUGGAUGGCACUAGAAGAAACUAUCCUGAGUGAGGUAACCCA